rnacentral:rRNA from 1 species
ACGCUGGCGGCGUGCCUAAUACAUGCAAGUAGAACGCUGAAGAGAGGAGCUUGCUCUUCUUGGAUGAGUUGCGAACGGGUGAGUAACGCGUAGGUAACCUGCCUUGUAGCGGGGGAUAACUAUUGGAAACGAUAGCUAAUACCGCAUAACAAUGGAUGACCCAUGUCAUUUAUUUGAAAGGGGCAAAUGCUCCACUACAAGAUGGACCUGCGUUGUAUUAGCUAGUAGGUGAGGUAACGGCUCACCUAGGCGACGAUACAUAGCCGACCUGAGAGGGUGAUCGGCCACACUGGGACUGAGACACGGCCCAGACUCCUACGGGAGGCAGCAGUAGGGAAUCUUCGGCAAUGGGGGCAACCCUGACCGAGCAACGCCGCGUGAGUGAAGAAGGUUUUCGGAUCGUAAAGCUCUGUUGUAAGUCAAGAACGAGUGUGAGAGUGGAAAGUUCACACUGUGACGGUAGCUUACCAGAAAGGGACGGCUAACUACGUGCCAGCAGCCGCGGUAAUACGUAGGUCCCGAGCGUUGUCCGGAUUUGUUGGGCGUAAAGCGAGCGCAGGCGGUUUGAUAAGUCUGAAGUUAAAGGCUGUGGCUCAACCAUAGUUCGCUUUGGAAACUGUCAUACUUGAGUGCAGAAGGGGAGAGUGGAAUUCCAUGUGUAGCGGUGAAAUGCGUAGAUAUAUGGAGGAACACCGGUGGCGAAAGCGGCUCUCUGGUCUGUAACUGACGCUGAGGCUCGAAAGCGUGGGGAGCGAACAGGAUUAGAUACCCUGGUAGUCCACGCCGUAAACGAUGAGUGCUAGGUGUUGGAUCCUUUCCGGGAUUCAGUGCCGCAGCUAACGCAUUAAGCACCCCGCCUGGGGAGUACGACCGCAAGGUUGAAACUCAAAGGAAUUGACGGGGGCCCGCA